CUUGAGCAUGCAUAGUUACCCAGACCUUUUUCACUAGCCAACCCCAAAUGUUUAUUACAAGUUAUUACAAACCAGAAAUACCGAAUUACAAAAGAAAUAAUGAAAGAAAAAACUACUACCAUAGAAAAUCCUGAUUUGACUUCCUAUCUGAGAUAUGCAAUGAACUAUAUCAUUGCCAAUGCCAUUGAUUUCAAGACCUUUCUCGGACCUGGAUGUGUCAGAGUUCUCUAAGGGCCUCAAUAGGACCCCAGGCAGUGCUUACACCCAGAUUUAUAGAACCGGAAUAGAGAUGAGUGAAGUGUGGAAAUGCCAUCCCUUAUGUGUCCAAGUUCAGAGGGAGCUCAUGUGUCCCAAGGCAAGAUUGACAUGAGGGGGAAGAACUUAAGUCUAAGAAGAGAGUGCAUGUGCAGAAACAGAGUUUUAAGAGCUGAGGGAAUAAAUGAGAGGAAAGGGUGAUGGGAGGCAGCAAUUAACAGAGUUCAGGGAGUCAAUAACUUCACAUAAAGGGGCCAGGGGAUUGGGAAUCCAUUGCAAGGAGCCUAUACACUUAGGCAUGGGUUAACUUUAGGCAUGCACAGCAAUAGAGAGUGCUGACAUGCCUGUAAAUCAACCAG
rnacentral:lncRNA from 1 species